UAAUCAAGUGUUUUUAUGGCACUUUCAAAAAUCCAUAUCCACCUUGUGUGCAAUGUCAUCUCUCUGGGGGCUGUCCGGCUGUCAAAAGCCGUGUGGUCACCUUUGGGAUUUAUAUCUACUCAGAACUUUAGUGAUUUUGUCUGAAACAUAUUAUGAAUACUUAAUUCAAAAUA
rnacentral:misc_RNA from 1 species